ACGACCAUAGGGUGUGGAAAACAGGGCUUCCCGUCCGCUCAGCCGUACUUAAGCCACACGCCGGCCGGUUAGUAGUUGGGUGGGUGACCACCAGCGAAUCCCGGCUGGUUGUAU
rnacentral:rRNA from 1 species